CUAUUGGGUGCAAAGAAGAUUCUUGGCCGCUCUGUAACAGCAGCUUCUACGAGUAAAAGAACAACCUCGGCGGCACCAAAAGGGUUUCUUGCUGUGUACGUAGGAGAGAGCCAGAAGAAGAGAUAUGUGGUGCCAAUCUCAUACCUGAGCCAGCCUUCGUUUCAAGCCCUACUAAGUAAAUCUGAAGAAGAGUUUGGGUUUGAUCAUCCAAUGGGCGGCUUAACAAUCCCUUGUUCUGAAGAUAUAUUCAUCACAGUGACGUCUCGGUUCCAAUGAUGAUUAUCCAAACAUAUUGUUAGUCUAGUUAGAUAUAGACUUUCCCUGUAGAUAGAUGAGAUUUUUUUAACCUCUUUAUUGUUUAAAGAGUUAUUCUAUAAUCUUUUGAAAGUGAAUGUUAUAGACACGAUAAUGAUUCAUGUUAAUACAUUUUGGAGCAACCAUUCAACAAGAAAGUGCGACACCUAUCUGAUUCUUGUUUUUUUCUUCUUCUCGUCUUCUUAUUUGAUCAUUACUUUUGGUGUGCCUCUGCAUACUACUGUAAUGACAUGUGUUUUGAUAUUUAUGAAUAUGAAGAAAAACUCACUAGAGAAUCAUUACAGAGAAUGAAGAACAUGUUGCAUGUCCUACAGUCAAUCCAGAUUUAACACAUCUGAAUUACACAACCAUCUGAAACACACAAUCAUGUGAAACUCUGUUCUCUGUACUCAGUAUAACGUAUCUUGGCUCCAACAUAAUGUUAUUGUUAUAAAACAGACCUAACCAGUCUUUGUAAAUAGAUAUACACCUUUUUCUUUUACUUCUUCAGAGAGUUUGUUGCAGCGUGUGUAAAGAGUUAACCGAAUGAUUAUUAUCUUAUUUAUAGCUUUUGUCAUUUGAUCCAAUGAAUCCAAAAUCACUGAGCUGUUCAAACCAUCUGUCUUAAGGGAGGUUAUCCUCUGCAGGUCAGCGACCUCGGGGUAAUUUGAUUGUGUAGUGAGAUCACUGGGAUGGUAAUCUUCAUAUUAAAAGAUAAUUUGUCAUAAGAGAAGAAUCUUAAUGAAGAAAACAUCCUCCCCGUAUAAUGGUUUGUGUCUAUCAGAAACAAAAACAUGUAUGGGUCUCAUAACAUUCACGUGCUACAAAUAUAGAUACAUAGACAAUUGUGAAUGCAAGAAUGAUGACAAAUUUCUCAGAAAACUUUUUGCAAUUUGUGUAAAUGAAACCAUGGUCUUUACAUAGAAAUAUGGCAUAAAACAUUUUGAGUUACGUAACCUCUUGAAACAACUCUCUUUGACAAAGAAAGAGGAAAGGGUUAACAUAUAUACAUUGAAUGAUUCUAUCUCUAACUAAUGUCAGUGUUCUCUUCUUGUGGAACAUCAUCACUGAAGCGGAGAAGUCACGUUGAUAAAGGUGUCUUCAGGACAAGGGAUGGUUAAUCCACCCAUUGGAUGAUCAUAUCCAAACUCUUCCUCAGAUUUACUUAGAAGAGCUUGAAAAGAAGGCUGAUUCAAGAACGAUACUGGCACAAGAUAUCUCUUCUUCUGGACUUGGUCUUCACCAACGUACACUGCAAGAAACCCCUUUGGCGCUGAAACUGUCCUUUUGCUUGAAGCCCCUACAGAGAGGCCAAUGAUUCUCUUUGCACUCAAGAGACCUCUGAACAAAGCCAUUUCUUGUGUCUUUAAAUUGAAAUUUGAAGCUUCUGAGAAACAAAUAGAUGCUCAGAUUCAAGGUUUGUAUUGAAGAGUUGGUUCACUGCCCUAAGAUGUAUAUAUAGAUUGUUAAAAGACUUUGAAACCACCUUAGAACCAUUGAAAGAAUGAGACAUACGCAUACCUCUAUUCACAUGGUUCUGUUUUCUAAGAUAUGAUGAUAGAAGACAAGAAACGAAAGCUAGCGAGCAUUAUCUCUUUUGUUUUCUCAUGUCUGUAUAAUAAAAGAAGAGAAGACAUGAGUUAUUCAAUCUUGUACGUAUAACUUGUCAUGUGUGAUACAUAUCUGUGGAUAUAAUCAAAGAACAACUUAAACUGUGACAGAGACUUGUUGUUCUGCUGUUGAGAAACUUCAUGUCCCCACUUUAAAUUCUCAUUAACUAAAUCUAUUUAGACCACAAAGAUGAGGGAAUAUGAUCACCACAGAACAUGAAGAACAGAAACUUGCUGGUCUUUAUUAUUGACAAAACAAAUGUCUUAUCUAAACAAACAUUGAGAAAACAAGCCCUUGUGUAUUACAUAUGGAGUUUGUUUUAGUUUAUUGUCCUACAUUCAAUUAAUAAUCUUAUCACCACAAACUGCAUUGACCUAUAACUUUUUCAAGUUGGUUCAGACAAUACCAUGUGAAACUCUGCUCUAGUUUGUCCCAUUGUUCAAGACCACAAGUUUGAGAGAGGUUCGAAUUCAUUCAUUGAUCUUUCUAUAUAUACACAUAACAUUACCGAUUCUUUCAAAAUCAUCAACCAGCAAACAAGCAAUAUAUCCAAUAACUUGAAUCUUUUCAUACAUCUUCGAAGCUUCAGACAAAGAAACUAGAAAUGGCUUUCGUGAGAAAUCUAUUGGGUGCCAAGAAGAUUCUUGGAGCCGCAACAAGCAAAAGGGCGACCUCAGCGGCACCAAAGGGGUUUCUUGCGGUGUACGUAGGAGAGAGCCAGAAGAAGAGAUAUGUGGUGCCAAUCUCAUACUUGAGCCAGCCUUCUUUUCAAGCUCUUCUGAGCAAAUCUGAAGAAGAGUUUGGGUUCAAUCAUCCAAUGGGUGGCUUAACGAUCCCUUGUCCGGAAGAUAUCUUCAUCAACGUAACGUCUAGGCUCCAAUGAUGAUGAUCAAACAUAUUGUUCUUCUAGUUAGAGAUAUACUUUGUUCCUUGUAAAUAGAGGAUAGUUUGUUUUUUUCCUCUCUUUCUUCCCGGAAGAGUUCUAAAAUUUGAAAGUGGAAUACAAUUUUUUAUGCUAUAAACACAGCAUAAUUCAUGUUAAAGUAAUUCAUUUUUGAUCAAUCAUUGAAAAAGAAAAAUCUCAUUACAACUUAAAGAUAACCCAAGUUAAAAUCAUGCUCCAGUUCACAUUUCCAAGGGAAUGUGUGGAUCCUCAACUUUCAAUAAUCAGUCCUUAAAACAUGUUUUACCAUCAGUCUUACCGCUCACGUAACUGUGAAAAAAUGAUUUAAUAUAUCAAAUCUCAAAGACCGGAAUGUUUCUUGUUCUCUUGAAAUGGUAAGGUGAUAGACACUUGUAUUUUCGUUACUUCGACGAACUGACUUAAACAGUGAAUAUCUGUUCACAAUCAAUCAGCCAAUUCUUGAAUAAUAUAUGAAAAGAGCAACAUGGUAAACCUGUUAGUGUAGACAAACAUGUUUCAACUCAUUUCAUUGAUUCACACUCGAGCAAUCCAAGUUUUCAAGAUGAAUUAUAUUUUUAAAAACCUUUCUUCAAUUAGCAUAGAACACUUUUACAACAGAAAUUUCAUUUACUUUGAGCUUUGUAACCUCUUGAACAACUCUUUUUCUCAGGAAGAACGAGGGAAAAGGUUGACCUAUUUACAUUGAAUAAUUUAUCUCUAACUCAGGAGUAGACAACGUUAAAUCUCUCUAUCUCCUCGGAUCAUCUUCCCUUUAGCCCAGAAGUCACGUUGAUGAACGUAUCUUCAGGACAAGGAAUGGUUAAGCCACCCAUUGGAUGAUCAAACCCAAACUCUUCUUCAGACUUACUGAGCAGAGCUUGAAACGAAGGCUGGCUCAAAUAUGAGACAGGAACUAUAUAUCUCUUCUUCUGGACCUGGUCCUCGCCAACAUACACCGCAAGAAACCCUUUUGGUGUAGUGGCCAUCACAGAGCGGCUUAAGAUCUUCUUUGCAGCCAAGAGUCCUCUCAUUAAAGCCAUUUCUAGUCUUUGAAAAUUUUAAUUGAAGAUGUGUUGAGGAUAAGAAGUUAAGUUCUGAGAGUCAAGCUUUUGCACUACUUGGUGAUGUGAAGAAUUGGUUCUGUUUCUGGAUGUAUAAAUAGAUCAAUGAAAGAGUUGAAACCACCCUGGAAUUAAUGAAACUGUGGUCUAAUACUACGAGCGUGGGACAUGCAAGAACAGAGUUUCACAUGGUUUUGUUUUCAAGAUAUGACAAUCAAUGAAAGCUAUUCAAAACAUUAUAUGUAUUUCACAAGGGUUUGUUUCCUCAGUGUCUUCAUAAUUUAUAAAACUGAGAUAUUGCAGUCUUCUCUCUCGUCUAUAAUAAACCGUUAGCAGGUUUUGUUUCUUAAUGAUGUAGUGGUAGUGUGGGACCUUCAGUAGCGUACCAAGAGAACAAGAAGGACACAAUAAUUUUCAAAGGACAUGAUCCCAUGGAGUGAAACUUUAAAUUGAUUGAAAGGUAAGCGAGACUAACCUGUAAGGCUGUCACAUUCAUGUGAAUAUCUUUGCCAAAACCUAGACAAACAAUCCCAUCCAGUGAAGAAACCUUAGCUGAUCUCACCUCGCAUAUCCAAAACACACAUCUCACUCUAUAGAUUUAGUUUCUUUCUUGUCACCAUUGUGGUACAUAUAAAGCUCUACCCACUAUAGACUAGUGUAACAUUUCUCUUUGCAUUUUUUAGCCAGUUGUUAAGCUCCUAAUGUGCAAUGAGCAUAUGUCUAAAAGAUGAGAUAGUGACGGUGUGUGUCACAUGAACUGUCUUUAAUUCUAAAGAACGCCGAUCUGUUCAUCGGACGGUCAUGAUCGAAACAAGAGAGAGAAGGCACGUGGAGUAUAUAUACAAAGUCAAAUAAAAAUGCUUCCUUUACGCUCUCUCUCCACUCUCUCUCUCUCUCGCUAACGAACGCCAUGGACGAGACCCAAAUCGCCUCCCUCCUCAAAUCAUCCGACCUCUUCCCAAUCCCUCAAAGCCUCAAACUUUCCUACGGAACAGCCGGCUUCCGCGGCGACGCAACGCUCCUAGCCUCCACCGUCUACAGAGUCGGCAUCCUCUCAUCUCUCCGCUCCCUCAAGCUCGCACCCUCCACCAUCGGGCUCAUGAUCACAGCCUCCCAAAACAAAGUCUCCGACAACGGCGUCAAAGUCUCCGACCCAUCCGGCGGAAUGCUCUCCCAGGAAUGGGAGCCCUUCGCGGAUCAGAUCGCCAACGCUUCUUCUCCUCAAAAGCUCGUAGCUUUGAUCAGAGAGUUCGUCGAAAGAGAAGAGAUUUCAAUCGGAGACGGUAAAGGAGAGGUGUGGUUGGCGAGAGAUACUAGACCUAGCGGUGAAGCCCUCCUCCGAGCUGCUGAGAUCGGAGUCUCCUCUGUUUCGGGAUGCGUCGCGGUUGACUACUCCUCAGCUGCAUUGGAUGGUUAGAGCUAAGAACAAAGGUCUCAACGCAACGGAGAAGGCUUACUUCGAGAGUCUAACGACGUCGUUUAAGUGUUUGAUUGAUUUGAUCCCUUUUAACAAGAGUAGUAGUAGCAAGUUGGUUUUAGACGGUGCUAAUGGUGUGGGAGGGGAGAAGAUGGAAGUUUUAAAAGGGUAUUUACGUAAUUUAGAUAUCGAGAUUCGUAACACGGGGAGAGAUGGUGGUGUGCUUAACGAAAUCGUAGGUGCUGACUUCGUUCAGAAGGAAAAGGUUGUGCCUUUAGGGUUUGGGGUUAACGACGUUGGCCUGAGGUGUGUUAGCUUCGACGGUGAUGCUGAUAGGUUAGUUUACUUUUACGUUUCUUCUGGUGAGAAGAAGAUUGAGUUGCUAGACGGUGAUAAGAUUCUCUCUUUGUUUGCUCUCUUCGUCAAAGAGCAGCUAAACGUUCUUGAUGAUGGGUGUUGUCGUCUUGGUGUUGUGCAGACGGCUUACGCAAACGGUGCGUCGACGGAUUACUUAAAAGGUUUGGGGUUAGAGGUUGUUUUCGCGAAGACUGGUGUGAAGCGUUUACAUAAGAAGGCGGCGGAGUUUGAUGUUGGGAUCUACUUCGAAGCUAAUGGUCAUGGGACUAUACUCUUCUCGGAAGAUUAUGUUUCGUUGUUAGUUGACAAGCGGAAGGGUCUGAGUGAAGGGUCUGAUGAGUACAAUGCGGUUUCUAGGCUAGUGGCGGUGAGUAAGCUGAUUAACCAAGCGGUUGGUGAUGCUAUAAGUGGGUUGUUAUUGGUUGAAGUGGUGCUGCGACAUAUGGGGUGGUCGGUGCAGAAGUGGCAUGAGCUGUAUAAGGAUCUUCCUAGCAGACAGGUUAAGGUUGAAGUUCCGGAUAGAACAGCGGUUGUGACCACGAGGGAAGAGACCGAGGCGCUGAGACCUUUGGGGAUACAGGAUGCUAUUAAUGGUGAGAUUAGGAAGUACAAGCGUGGCAGAGCUUUCAUAAGGCCAUCAGGUACAGAAGAUGUUGUGAGAGUAUAUGCAGAGGCGUCGACACAAGAGGAUGCUGAUUCUUUGGCUGAUUCUGUGGCUCAGCUUGUCAAAAGCUUCCUUGGUUCAAGCUAAAGCUUCAUUUGAGUUCUGUUACUUGAGAGUUACUUUUUGUUUCUCUUGUAGCUCUUCUUUGUUUCCAAUAAAGUUAUGAAACUGGAAUGUAUCUUCUUCUCCUGGAAUAGUACAAGUGAGAGAUUGUUGUUAAGGACUCAGUACCCACGUACUUAUAGUAAGAUCAUAACAAUGGUGUACUUGAAAAAAGUUUAUGCCUUAAUCUCUAGCUUAAGAAGGGAACUUAGCACAUGCCUUUGUCCUCCUGUCUUAUCUCUCAGCAACUUUGUCGCCGACUGUGACUUCACACGAACCAAAACACUGACCCCUCUAGUGGAAGAUUAAUCUUUGUUGAAUUACAACUAUAAUGUGUGAUCAUAUCUGUGUAUAUAAUCAAAGAACAACUUGACCUGUGAGAGAGACUUGUUGUUCAGUUGUUGAGAAACUUCAAGUCCCCACUUUGAGUUAUUAUUAAUUAAAAUACAUUUAGACCACAGAGAUGAGAGAAUGUGAUCACCAUAGAACAUGAAAAACAUAAACUUGCGUGUCUUUAUUAUUGACAAUAGCAUAUGUAUUAUCUAAACAAACAGUGAGAAAACAAGACCUUGUGAAUCGCAUAUGGAGUUUGUUUUUAGUUUAUUGUCCUACACUCAUCAAAUCAAGUUGCAUUAAACUAAACUUUUCCAAAUGCUUAAGACAGAACCAUGUGCAACUCUGUUCUACUAUGUCCCACGUUUCAAAGACCACAAGUUUUAAAGAUUUUUCAAGAGAGGCUGCAACUCAUUCACUGAUAUAUAUACACAUUACCCAUUCUAUAAUUCAUCAACCAACAACAAGCAACACAAAAACUUGAAAUAUUUUCAUACAUCUCUUCAAAAGCUUUUAAAAAUAUUUCAGACAAAAAAACUAUAGAAAUGGCUUUGGUGAGAAGUCUCUUCAGUGCAAAAAAGAUUUUUAGCAGAGCAACCUCGGCAGCGCCAAAAGGGUUUCUUGCGGUGUACGUAGGAGAAAGCCAGAAGAAGAGAUAUGUGGUGCCAAUCUCAUACCUGAGCCAGCCUUCGUUUCAAGCCCUACUAAGUAAAUCUGAAGAAGAGUUUGGGUUCAAUCAUCCAAUGGGCGGUUUAACGAUACCUUGUCCUGAAGAUACUUUCAUCAAUGUGACUUCUCAGCUUCAAUGAUGAUUGUCUACCAUUUU
rnacentral:lncRNA from 1 species